rnacentral:rRNA from 1 species
GAUGAACGCUGGCGGCAUGCCUUACACAUGCAAGUCGAACGGCAGCACGGGAGCAAUCCUGGUGGCGAGUGGCGAACGGGUGAGUAAUAUAUCGGAACGUGCCCAGUCGUGGGGAUAACGUAGCGAAAGCUACGCUAAUACCGCAUACGAUCUAUGGAUGAAAGCGGGGGAUCGCAAGACCUCGCGCGAUUGGAGCGGCCGAUAUCAGAUUAGGUAGUUGGUGAGGUAAAGGCUCACCAAGCCGACGAUCUGUAGCUGGUCUGAGAGGACGACCAGCCACACUGGGACUGAGACACGGCCCAGACUCCUACGGGAGGCAGCAGUGGGGGAAUUUUUGGACAAUGGACGCAAGUCUGAUCCAGCCAUUCCGCGUGCAGGAAGAAGGCCU